UUAAGCAGUAGAUAAUGUCCUACAAGCUCAAGGUGAACUAGGCCACUGGUUUUUAAAAGACACAUAAAAAAAACCACUGUUGAAGAGACAUUCAAUGCAAGCCUGGAGACCUUUGAAGUUUUAGACACUCCCAGUCCACUUAUAUUUACCACUAUUUUCUAGGCUGCAGACCUUUAAGACAGUACCUUCUCUUGCUCUUCAUUUUUCAGUAUGUCUCUUCUAUUGAACUUUUCCAUGCCUUUAAAACUACUCUGGUCUCUUACAGAAUACAUUUUCUUUAGGUACAAGAGAAAGUAUUAGACUAAUCACUACAUUUUUGAUGUGCUGCUUGUACAGCAUGCCAGUUCAGAGAGUGACCACCAGUUUAUGCAGUUGGUAAAAGAAUCUUUACCAAUCAAACUGCUCUCAGCAGAUUGUAGUCAGGCUAAGGAAGGUUUCAUUACACACAAUUCUCUACUAGGGGUUGUUUCCUGACAGUCUAGGUGUCCCACAUUUACAUCCAUAAUCUUCAUCAAUACCAUAAGAUAUAUGGAUACUGUGAGGAACUGCAACUAGAGUCCUAAUAGCACCUCUACCACUAGAUCAGGAUGCCCAUCCUUAUGGAAUAAUUAUUCAUCUUCAAGCCCUGAAACAUUUAGGGAACGCUUUGAAAAUAUGACUGUUAAAAUUAGGGGAAGGGUAAAGACUGCUUAAUUGACUUUUUUUCUCCUAACUGCAGUUGACACGGUGAACCAGACUGUGCAGCAAGCAGCGGAACAGGCAAAGAGUGCUGGUCAGAAAGCACUUGAUGAAGUCUACAAAGUUGCUGAAACUGGUGAAAAAGCUGUAAAAAAUGUAGCAAACCAAGCAACUUCAUGGGGCAAAAGCUUUGGACAAUAAAGAUCAAAAUGUAUCACCACUGAAAUUUUUGUAAACAAGUUUCUACUACAUAAAUUCUUAAAUAAAGACAUUACUUAACUCUG